rnacentral:siRNA from 1 species
GGUCAAGAAUCAUAAGAGCAUGUC